rnacentral:rRNA from 1 species
UGGGCGAAAGCCUGAUCCAGCCAUUCCGCGUGGAUGAUGAAGGCCUUAGGGUUGUAAAGCUCUUUUGGCGGGGACGAUAAUGACGGUACCCGCAGAAUAAGCCCCGGCUAACUUCGUGCCAGCAGCCGCGGUAAUACGAAGGGGGCUAGCGUUGUUCGGAAUUACUGGGCGUAAAGCGCGCGUAGGCGGCUUCGUCAGUCAGAUGUGAAAGCCCCGGGCUCAACCUGGGAUGGUCAUUUAGAACUG